UACGAAGGGUGCAAGCGUUAAUCGGAAUUACUGGGCGUAAAGCGCGCGUAGGUGGUUUUGUAAGUUGGAUGUGAAAGCCCCGGGCUCAACCUGGGAACUGCAUCCAAAACUGCAUGACUCGAGUACGGUAGAGGGUGGUGGAAUUUCCUGUGUAGCGGUGAAAUGCGUAGAUAUAGGAAGGAACACCAGUGGCGAAGGCGACCACCUGGACUGAUACUGACACUGAGGUGCGUAAGCGUGGGGAGCAAACAGG
rnacentral:rRNA from 1 species